rnacentral:rRNA from 1 species
UACGGAGGAUCCAAGCGUUAUCCGGAUUUAUUGGGUUUAAAGGGUGCGUAGGUGGCCUAUUAAGUCAGGGGUGAAAGACGGUAGCUUAACUAUCGCAGUGCCUUUGAUACUGAUGGGCUUGAAUACAGUUGAAGUGGGCGGAAUGUGACAAGUAGCGGUGAAAUGCAUAGAUAUGUCACAGAACACCGAUUGCGAAGGCAGCUCACUAAAGUGUGAUUGACACUGAGGCACGAAAGCGUGGGGGAUCAAACAGG